UGGGGAAUAUUGGACAAUGGGCGCAAGCCUGAUCCAGCCAUGCCGCGUGAAGGAUGAAGUAUUUCGGUAUGUAAACUUCGAAAGAAUAGGAAGAAUAAAUGACGGUACUAUUUAUAAGGUCCGGCUAACUACGUGCCAGCAGCCGCGGUAAUACGUAGGGACCAAGCGUUGUUCGGAUUUACUGGGCGUAAAGGGCGCGUAGGCGGCAAUUCAAGUCAUCUGUGAAAUCUCCGGGCUUAACUCGGAACGGUCAGAUGAUACUGCUUUGCUAGAGUGCAGAAGGGGCAAUCGGAAUUCUUGGUGUAGCGGUGAAAUGCGUAGAUAUCAAGAGGAACACCUGAGGUGAAGACGGGUUGCUGGGCUGACACUGACGCUGAGGCGCGAAAGCCAGGGGAGCAAACGGGAUUAGAUACCCCCGUAGUCCCUGAGCGGGCUGGCAAGGCGCAU
rnacentral:rRNA from 1 species